UAAAGAGACCUAUAUCAUCUAAAUCAUUUCCAAAAAAAUCCAAAUUUUAAGAAGGUAAAUAAAAUAAUUAUGAAAUUAACCAUCUCAUUAUGGUUGAUGUGUUGAAAUAUUUUAUUUUAAAUAGAAAAAAAAACCCAUGAGUUUAACAUACCCUGUCUCCUUUAUAAUCUUGGGCAAGUAAUUUAAGCUCUCUGACCUCAGUUUUCUUAUCUAUAAAGCAACAACAAGAUUUGUUUCAUAGAAAUUUUUGGAAGAUUAAGUAAAAUGGUAUCUACAAAGUGGUCAGCAGAGUGAUAAAAGCAGGUGAUCGGUAUUUUAAUACUAUAUGUGGAAUUUUAAAAACAGUUAAAAUUGUACAUUCAUCCUACAUUAGGUGACCUGGGGUAUAUUUUUAUAUUAUAAACUCUUAUUUUAUCAUCUCUAAGUUAUCAUUGAUUUUAUGAUGCACUAUUACUUUGUGUAUCACUAAGAAAAAUAAUAACUGUCAAACUAUGACACAAUGCUCAGAUGCCACCGUUUGUAAGAUAAAUCCAAAUUUCAAAAGGGCUAGAAUUUGAGAAGCACGCAUCUUAAAAUGAUUACAUAUAGAGUUCUAGAUUUCUUAUUUUAAAUUAUAUGUAGGAUACAUUUUAACAUAGUUGACAUUAAGUUCUUAUUAAAGUUCUACAUGAAGACAUGUCCUGUUUUAUAUGUCUGAAAUAUUAAAAAGGAUACAUGAUUAUAUUGUAAUUUUUAUAGAAAUGGUUCAAUCCCACUAUGAUGUUCAUCAGGUCAUAGAUUUGCUUACUUCAUCCUCCCAAGUAGAAGUAAAUUCUUUAAGGGCAAGGAUCUUAUCACGAAUUGCUAUACAACAUCUCUAUCAUUCAGCACCUAGACUUAAUUUAUAGUAGAUAUUCCAUACAUAUUUUAAUUGGUUUAUGAAAGUGUCUUCAUAGACACUAAAAUUAUAGUCAUUUAACAGUGAUUAAAUUGUCUCAUAUUAGUGUUUUUGUUUUUGCUUGUUUGAAUUUGUUCAUUAAAUAUUGUACCAUACAUGAGACAAUUGAUAUUUCUUCUUAGACUUGAACUUGGUGACAGACCCCAGACCCUAUUGAUUUCUAUUUACUCAAAUAAAUGCAACACUUGGUGAUUAGAGAAACACGGUAACUGUUUCUUUGUGGAUGAACAAAUGAUUUUGACUUUAGAAUGCCUCUGUGUCAUUGAGAGCCAGACAUGAUAUCAAGCAUUGCCUAAGCAUACCCCUGAAAUGAUGCCUAAUCUCUUAUUUUUAUCUGGUUUCCUAGGAAGCGGUGGCUUUGUCUUCACAUUUUGUGUAGCCAUACUGUUAAAGCCUGCUGGAUUUUCAGGGGCCAGUAAGUAGUCUUUAGUAAUACUAGUUGUCAUAAUUAUAUUUUCAGCUUGAUGGAAGGAAUAUAUUCUUGUAAUGCCAAAUUAUUGUGUUUGAAAAUUAUUCAUAUUGCCUUACCUGUGUUUCCCAAUGCUAGAAUUAAAAAUUUGAAAUUAUAACCUAACCAUAAGUCAGUAAUAACAGAGGAUAGUUUAGAGAGAAAAGGUUUGGUAUUUGGGGUCACAAAUCUUGAGUUUGAUUUUCAUCACCUUCCUCCGUUGUGACAUGGACCAGGUCAUUCAACUUGAGGUGAGACUCAAGUGAGAUGCAUGUACAUUUGUUAGGUAAGCUGUAAGUUGUAACAUACAACUAUAUAUUUGGAUUAUAAUAGUGGCAAACUGCUUAUUUUUCUCUUAGACAGAUAUAUAAAUGAUAAUUUGAACAUGGUUACAAAACGUAAAGUUACCUCUAAUUUUGGUACAAACUCGACUUUUCCAACUGCAGUGAAACUCCAGUACAAACAGAUUAUGUCAUUGAAGCUUCAUAUAUAAAUAUAAUUAUGUUAUGUACUUUAAUGAUUUCAAACGAAUAAAGUCUUUCUAAGAUGAUCUUCUCAAUGUAACAUGAUCCAUGAUAUUUUUGAAACUCUUGAAAAGGAAAAAAAAAUUGCCUGAGGAAGUGAAACAGUCAGUUUUCAUAUUGGCAUGCUAUUUCAUGACCAUCAGGUGAAAACUUUUCAGGUUUAAUGCUUUAUAAUUCUCCCAGCUGAAGCUUUAGAACUUCAAAGCACUGUAGAACAUUUCAAAUUUCUCUUCUGCCCAUGAGAAAACCCUUUGCAUUGAAAGUUGCUUUCAACUGGAAUCCUACAUUUGGUAUUACACAACAGUGACAUAUUUUUACGAGAUUAAAAUUACACACCAAGAAUGCUAAGUUGCCCAAGCAAAACCAUUUCUACUAUUAAAAAUGUUCCCACUAUACACUAUGAAGAGCUAUGACCUUUUCUUGUCCGUAAAUAAUGCUUACUAUAAUAAAUGUAAGAACCAUUUAUAAAUUCCAUAUUUGCCUAAGAAAUACCCAUCUUCUAACCACCUGUAAUUUACAAAGAGGAUUUACUUAAGCAUAAUUAUGUUUCCUUUAACUAGUAAACAAUAAAUCUACCACUGAUUGUAAAGACAGGCGAUCAGUGGGUAUUAUGAAGAAAAUGACAUGAAAAUCAAUAUGUAAUUCCUGGGAAAAGGGCACACUAUACUUUUAAUUUGAAAUCUACCAACGGCUAAGUCAUGAAUAUAAAACUUGCCUCUGUCAAAAUAAUUUGUUUGCUGUAAAACUAGGAAUCAUCCUUGGUUAUCUAAUACUUCAAGAAACAGUGUAUUAGCCCCUCUCAGAAUCUGUGUGACGCUGGCCCCCUUUGGCAACUAAAAGAGCUCUUUGAACCAUAGAACAGAUGUAAUGAAAAUUGGUUCCAUUAAAUGCAGCUGGUAAAUUACAAACUGAGAAAUUAAUGCGCCAUACCACGACUCUAGGGGCUAAAAUGAAUCAAGGUGUGGUUGCCAGAUGCUCACGUUUCAUCACCACCACCCCCAAUAAAAACAUCUCUGUUUAUAGAUUUGUUUACUAGAACAUAAAUUAUUCAUUUAGGCAAUGCAAAUUAUGAGAUCAUGAUGAGGAUUAAUCCACUAACACAAUAAUUGUGUUAUAUUCAAGUAAUAAAAUUUUAAAAGAAAUAAAACCUACACCAUGUAAUUCUUAAACACUCCUUUAGCUUAGGAAAUGCACUGGAUUUCCAGGAAUACUCACUAUCCUAUGAUAUGCUGUCUCUGAAUUCCAGUGGGAAGGGAAAGCUGAUUUGAUACCAUCCAUAAACAGCAUGCUCCUUUGUUGAUCUCAAUUCAAUUUAUUCCAACUUGAUGUGCUGCUGAUGGCUCUACUAGUAGAACCUGACAAAAGUCCAUUUAGCAUCUGUUUUUGAGGUGCUCUUCAAUGGUUCUGAGUAGUCCUCUUGAGUCAUUAGCUAAACAUUGUUUCAAAGAACUACACUUGCAAGAACCCCCCUGUGAAGACUUGAGGGGAGGGAACUGAAAGCAUAUUCCUAGGUAAUUCAGGCAACCCCUGGGAUAUUUCUCCCCUCCUUUCCCUUCUUAAAAUAAAUAAAUAAACAAAUAAUUGCUGGAGGCUGGGUUUUGUUAGACUUCUAUUGCAUUGCAGGUGUACAAGUAAAACAUUCUGGAACUAAGAUGGUUCAACUUUGCUUAUUUGAAAAAAUCUAGAUUUCUUAUUAGCCAUUUAAUGUAGCUAGUUGGUUCAUUAUUUUCAAAGAAAAUGAAAUUUAGUCAUUUAAAACAUGUUUUUGUAGUAACUAAUUCGGUUCCACAGUGGAAGAUAGAGGAAAUGAAUAGAAAGGGUUCAAAAGGGGAUAGAAUUAUUGGCAAAAUUUGAUUUUCUAAGCAGAAUAAUAGGUAUAUGGGUAUUAUUGCACUUUAUUUUUUGUAUGUCCCAAAUGCUGCAUAAUAAUAUUAAAAUUUAAAAAUGUUUUAAUGGGCUUAUAGUAAAAAAUGUUAUGAAGAGAAAAAUUUUUGGGGGGUGGGGGUCAUUAUUAAUAUCCUAAUUUUCUCCCUCACUGAAGUAAUUUUGAAUUUUCUGGGAUUCAAACAGAGAACAAAGAUAUACUGGAUUAUUUGGGUAAAUGUUUGAGUGUUCUAUUUUUCUUCACCUAAAAUAUGUGGCCACAUACAUAUACACCCUGAGUGUUUUAUUUACAUAUAAUAUGGAAUUCAUUUUCUUCAUACCUUCAUGAUAUAAAGCUAUUUUGUAAUCCACAAAAAUAGCCUGGACAAGAAUAUGACAUAGUUUGAUUUAGGAAUUGCAACAAUAAAUAAUGAUCUAAUUGCGAUAAUAAUGUAGUCCCAUUUUCUUAAACUAAACUUUGUAUACACAAAUGAUUUUGUAUUGCAUUAACAUGUCCCUCUCGUAUUCUUUUAAAGCAGCUGUUAGGCACACAAUAAGUGAGUACCUUUAAUUCGUAUACACAAAGAAAAGUGUUAUAGUAAAAUGAAAAACAUAUACAUUUUAAGCACACGUGAUACACACCACACAUUCUAUAGUAACUAGUUACUGUGUGUAGGUUGGGGUGGCCUAGUUACUUUUCUGUCCAAUACAACACUAUUCUAAUUAGAGCACUGCAUCAUACAGAAUUACACUACUUCCAGAUAAAGAACUUUUUGUAAAGUGCACAGAUAUUGCAAUAUGCAUGCUGUAUGCUUUAUAGCUGUUAUAAGCAUGCAGCAGUGACAAUUUUCCAUUGUUUUAUAGUAGCAUUAUUUCCACAUACAGAGACAUACACACUAAACGCAUGCAAUUGCCCGCAUAUUCGAUAUGCUUUACAAUACCUAUAUUUCACCAUUAGCAAUUUGUCCUUUGAAUCAAAUUGAAAUUCUUUUUGAAGUACAGAUAUGUUAUUUUCAUACUUCUACAAAAGGUCACGUUUCUAGAUGAGUAAAAACAAGUUGGUCAUAUCUUGAAAGCUCUGAAAGAGUAAGUAAAAGUCUAUGCAUACCUAAGCAUUCUUUCUUCCUUAUAGGUAUUCAUUUGAGAAUUUUUUAGAAGAGGUUUUGAUGUGUGUGGUAAUUAAUUGAAAUAAAUGAAAAAUCUGCCUUAUAUCCAGACUAAAUUUGCUUCAACAGCUGCUGAUCCUCAAGCUCUGAAUGUCAGCCAAUUAGUGGAGAAGUUUUCCAUGGCUGCUGCCCUAACCAGGCUUCCUGUCUGACAGCCCCAUUCUCAGCCUCAACCAGGGAGUUGAUUAACUGUGGGAUGAGGAACUUGCAGAUACUGAGGGCCAACUGUUUUAUAUCUGCUAUAUGGACAUGAGAAAGGCAAAGAAUAACAAAAGUGAAAUCAGUGAUUUCAAAUAAUUAUCUAAGAGGUGCUUAACAAUAGCUUAUUCCAACAAAGAGCUACACUCGAGGCUAUUAAUAGAGCAAGUAUUUGGAACAAUGAGAUGCAGAGAGCACCCAGCUUCAGCUGAUGGCUCUGAGGAAGACCUCGAUUUUUACAGGUGAUACCAUUUGUGCAGGGAUACUUCCAAUUAUUUAAUAUUUUGUUUUAAGAGUAAAAGAAGAGACAAAGAAGGUAUAUGAUUAUAAUAGCAAGAAAAUAAGCAUCACAGUGAACAUAAGGAAUCUCCCAAGUUCCAAGAAGUGUGUCUGGCAUACAGUAGGUAAUUUAUUAAUAUGAUAAUUCAUGAAUUAAAACUUAAAUGGUAAUUUAUUAAUGGAAAAGGAAUAAAUGGAAAUAUUUUUAUCCUCUUGUACAAGUUUGAUCUGUAAACACUUUGUGUAAAUCAAUGCACAGUUGUGUCACUUUUAGAACAAUUUUCCUAAAGUUGAUGGUGAUGAAUUCUAGGGCUGUGUAAGAAGACAAAUGAUCUCUGCCCCAGCAGGAAAAGUCUAGCUCUCUUUUUGUACAGAAAGGAGAGAAUGGAGCUCGUCAGUACUACUGGAUAGUUUUGUUGCCACUCAUUCUUUUCAAAAAUGGUGUAUUUAUAAGUGACAAUUUGUCCCAAUUAUUUCAAGAUAGACUAAAAAAAAAAAAAAUCUAACACUAAAUGGCAAAACUUUCCAAACAUUAAAUCAUAAGAACAGGCAGAGUGUGAUGACAAGAAUAAAAAAGAAGGGCCGGGUGCAGUGGCUCAUGCCUGUAAUCCCAGCA
rnacentral:lncRNA from 1 species